CAAAUACCUUGUGGGAAUUUGCUGGGGCUGGGAGGUGGGAACCUGAGAAACAAAAGGAUGAUUUACAGUCGUUCAAAGGCAUCAUUCUAACCAGAAAAUUUAAUUUACAGACUUUCGGUUCUUUCAUUUCCAUUUUUGAAAGAGAAAAAAGAAAAUCAAUUGAGGCACACUGAGUCCCUCUUGCUUAGAGGUUAGUUCAAGGCAUCUUCAUCUUCAGAAAGCCUUCUUGGCAUUAAGCAAUAAACAGGCCAAGCAGAUAAAACCACCCUGUGUUUAAAAAGCUGGUCUGUCUCCGAGGCAGAAUUUUUAUAGAUAAAACAACGGAAUGUGACUCAGAGAAGUCAUCUUGUAAAAAUGGUCCCACGUCGACACAGAGCUCCUCACUCAGGAAGUGAACCCUAUAAGAGAUAGGAAGGUUUGGGGGGAUUUAGAUAAUUCUUGACUUUUGGCUUCAAAAGACUACCUUAAAGCCCUGUGUCGCCUAGAUGCAUUUUUAUGUUGCAAAUAUUUCCUCCACACCUCUGCUGUCUCAUCACUUGAAAUGCCCCCUCUCUCUCUCAGAUCAUCAAAAUGACCCAAUGGAUCCUGCAGAAAAAGGAAUGUCUGGUGGAUGCUUUACCACUGAGCCACUGGGGAAACCCCUCCCAGAGGGACAGGGUUCCCAAAAGCUGAAAACCCAGGAUUUGAUAGAACCAAUGCAGAACCGGAACAUGUGUUUCCCUGGCCAAAGACCUCGAACUACGUCGGGGAGCCACAUUCUAACCACUGUGUUUUCAUCUGGAGGUCUCAGAAGUCCCUUUGGUUCCUGCAGGAUCCAGAAUGCAGAAGGGAAGAAACAGGCUGAAACGUAGUAGCUGCUCACAGGGCACAGCGUGCUGCCUGCUCAACACCCCUAUUAAAACCCAGGAUCCAUGGAAGGUUGUUGCUGUCUCCGUAACAACAAGGACCAGAGAGACAAGAAACAAAAGCUAUGAUUUCUCCCUCUGAGGAAGUUUCCCCCUUUUUAAUUGUACAUGUGCAAGUGAAAUUUCAAAUGUGCUUAUUUGUUCUUUUCUAAGGAAUACAUGUUGGUUUCCCCCACAUCAGUGAAGUCCAGAUGAGUUGUUCUCAGCCUGGGGUGAAUAUUCUGC
rnacentral:lncRNA from 1 species